rnacentral:rRNA from 1 species
UACGUAGGGGGCGAGCGUUGUCCGGAGUUACUGGGCGUAAAGCGCACGCAGGCGGUCUGCUAAGUUUGGAGUGACAGUUGGUGGCUUAACUGCCAAAGUGCUUCGAAAACUGACAGACUUGAGGGCUUCAGAGGGACACGGAAUUCCGGGGUGGAGUGGUGAAAUGUCGUAGAUAUCCGGAGGAAUACCAAAGGCGAAGGCAGUGUCCUGGCUGGCAUCUGACGUGAGGCGCGAAAGCUAGGGGAGCGAACAGGA